rnacentral:ncRNA from 20 species
UGCCACGCAUUGGUUCAUAGUCUUCCUUCGGAAGAUGUGAUUAAAAAGGGAAUCAGGUGCAAAUCCUGAACAGUCCCGCUGCUGUAAGUUCCAUAAAAACGUUACGGACAACUACCUUUAGCCACUGGGAAAUCCCGGGAAGGCGUCCGCCACAGGAACAAGUCAGAAGACCUGCCAUGCAAUCUUUUCAUUGC